ensembl:lncRNA
UUCGCCCGCCUGAGCCCAUAAUGCACUUGAUACUCUACCCCCUGUUCUCUGACCUCCUGGAACUCCUCCUCUCUUUUGGAACCCACCAAGAACUCCCCCACAUUACCUCCAGAACUCCUCCAGUCCGGGGAUCCCCUCACCCACCCAAGAAUCCCACUGCACUCCCCAGAACUCCCCUAGUUCUGCUCCCCAAAGAGCCCCACUUCUUUCCAGAGCUCCCCUCGCGCCCCCCGUCCCAAGUCCCACUGCUCCCCACGCCCCCGCCGAACCCCACUUCUACCCCAGGACGCCCUCGGGCUCACCUGCUCCGUACCGCUCGCUCCGCGCUCUCAGCUACACAAUAGGGGGCGGAACCGCCUCCAGCCGCGGAUGCCCCGAGCGCCUCCCGUCGCCCUGGAGAUGGCCGGGGCCCCUCCCGCGGCGGCCAAUUGCAGCCAGCCGAGGCCUAGAGAGGCGGGCGGGACCCCCGCGCCGCCUGGGAGUUGUAGUUUCAGGAGAGAAGGACUCGGUGGCACGUGGGCUCAGGUCGCCCCCUCGUGGAGCUCUACACAACCGAGCGUGGGAAGCGCCACGAGAGCUGCCGGGGCGAGCGACAGAGGCGGCAUCCAGGACUGAAAUCUGAACCGGGCACGGGAGCACCAGGCACCAGGGAGCAGCAGGCUUCUCUGCCCUCCUCCCCUGGGAUCCACCCAGGUCCAGGGCUCAUCCGAUCUCCUACACCAUCCCCAUCCCCACCUCCACCCUUUUCCUCACUUGCCGGACUGGAAAUACCUGUCUGUGCUGGCGAGCUCCCAGAUCUGGCCUGGCGCCUCCCGUGUGUGCGCUUGGAGGAGGCUGCUCUGAGUUUGAGGUGCCAAGUCAGCUCCCCUGGCAGAGCCCCACGCCCAGAGAAACAGCCCGGGGUGGGGGUGGGGGGAGAUGGCAGGCGUCCCGACAACGGAGAUUGAAAGGAGAGGGGUGAAAUACAUGAGCUGUUGCUGAACCCCUGGAGGGUGCGAGACCCUGGACUUAAAACUCUUAGGAAUCUACACAGAACCCCUGAAAAGUAAGUUUAGUUCCAUUUGAAAACAGAUUUUCCUCCUCCACCCACGCAGAGCUGCAUUCACACCCUACUGGACCUCCCCCAACCCCCCUUCUGGGCAAAAAGAUAUCUUGCCUAUCUGCCCCUCGGAGAUUUCCACUUCCUCAGCUUGGUACUGCUCAGGAGGAACGGUUAUUUGCCUUCCCCACAAGGCUUAACGAGCUGUUGCCUGCCCAGGUCCUUCCCAUCUCAUUGGUUCCUCUGGAAGCUUUCCUUGCUCUCACCUGAGUCUGAAACACUAUGGACUCACACCGGGUGUGCCAGGCCUCUAAUUCGUGGAAUCAUCCUGCAAGGUCAGGGUGGCUGUGAACAGCGCUUUGCACCAGAAGCCCUAUCGGGAUGUCCCUCUAGCACAGCCUGGGCCGGGAAGCCCAGCCUUCCUGCGGUGGGCACUCCAUCCUUAGUAGGCUCUGACUGCUGGAAUGGCGCUUCCUCCAGCUAUAAACGUCCGGCUGCCCUUUGUCACGGGUUGAAUGCUAGAGCAGCUGGGGAGCAGAGGCAGGAGCAGGGGUGAGGCCUCUCCUGGCACCCCUCCAGCCGAGGUUCCCAAAGUAGCAUCUCCACACACUGCGCUCCAGUGUCCCGGAAUUACGCUGCCCUCACAGGUGAUGAGACUACAGUGCCGACUGGUGAGUGGGCACCACACCAAGGCAAGGUAGAAAAGUUAGUCUCAGGGGAGCCUUUCUGACUUCUUCGCUCCUCGGCAACCUACGGACAGAUGUCCCUUCCCCAUUCGAGAAUCGGCCCCACCUCUGAUCCAAAAGUUUCAUUUCUGCUCUUUGUGGUUUUUGAAAGCUAAUCUCAUUUGGACAUUAAAAUAACUUUUUGUAAAGCGA